AUAAUAACUCCGCCUGUAGCUAUUCUAGAAUUAUUGCCGGUCCCAAGCCCGGGUAAAGGAGGAGGGUUGG
rnacentral:ribozyme from 1 species